rnacentral:lncRNA from 1 species
AAUGAGGUUACCAGCCUGAAAAUGGCAGUCGUAUAUAAAUCCUCUUAUCCCAUGGACAGAUUCUGUGAAGAUCAGCAGCUAUGUCUCCAAACACAGCAUUUUAGGAGCCCCAAGAAUCACCAGCAUCCGCCAGCAGCGACUGAUUCAGUAGGCUGGGUAAAGAAUUCAAAAUGCAAGAAGCCAGAAGCAUCGUGGUUCAUUUCCAUGGCCAAAUAUUUGCAAGUGUGUAUUCCAGGGGUUUAUAGUGCUUGUAUCACUAGUGUUUCUUUGGUAGUACAAGCUAAACUGUUUUCCUUGAAGGGAGGUGAGAUUCAUAAAACCACAGUGUUCUGUGUCCUGUGAAGCAUGUUAACUAUCUGUUGUAAAAGCAAAUAAAUGUUUAUGGCCUC